AUUGAACGCUGGCGGCAGGCCUAACACAUGCAAGUCGAGCGAACGGCGGCCGGGUUCGUACUGUCUGGGACACUGCCUGAGGGAGGGCGAUAACUACUGGAAACGGAAGCCAAUCCCGCAUUGCAUCAGCUGUGCCCAGAUGGGAAUUGUGAGUAGGUGGGGUAAUGUCUCACCUAGGGGAAGAUCCCUUGCUGGUCUGAGAGGAUGACCAGCCACACUGGAACUGAGACACGGCCCAGACUCCUACGGGAGGCAGCAGUGGGGAAUAUUGGACAAUGGGCGAAAGCCUGAUGCAGCCAUGCCGCGUGUGUGAAGAAGGCCUUCGGGUUGUAAAGCACUUUUAGCGGGGAGGCGGUACUCGCAGAAGAAGCACCGGCUAACUCCGUGCCAGCAGCCGCGGUAAUUC
rnacentral:rRNA from 1 species